rnacentral:misc_RNA from 1 species
UCCGAGUUGACCCCGGCAGUCUCCUACGAGUCCCCGGCAUUACCCGCUGGCAACAUAGGACAAGGGUUGCGCUCGUUGCGGGACUUAACCCAACACCUCACGGCACGAGCUGACGACAGCCAUGCAGCAUCUGUGCACGCUCCCUUGCGGGUCCCUUCCCUUUCAGGUCGGUACCACGUGCAUGUCAAGCCCAGGUAAGGUUCUUCGCGUUGCAUCGAAUUAAACCACACGCUCCGCUGCUUGUGCGAGCCCCCGUCAAUUCCUUUGAGUUUUAGCCUUGCGGCCGUACUCCCCAGGCGGGGUGCUUAAUGCGUUAGCUUCGGCACAGAGGGGGUUGAUGCCCCCCACACCUAGCACCCAACGUUUACGGCUGGGACUAC